GGGAGUUCAGUUUAGACUCGACCUCGCUCCGGGAAGCGCCGCGGCAAGCGAGCAGCAGAGCGGAGCGCGCGAGCCAGGCGCAGCGACAUGACGUUACUUCCGGCGUGCGGGACAAAUCUAUUCCAGUGUUUCUAGCGCUUCUCUCAGCCUGAAAGGGACUCUAGGACUGGAGUCUGGGUAAAGGAGGAUGAUCCUGUGGGAGCAUGUGGAA